AGCUAGAUUCUGGAUGAUAUUUCUCUCUGAACCCCGCCAGGACCGGAAGGUAGCAACGGUAGGAGAUGCAAGUAGGUGUUCGGCCCAUCUAGCUGUC
rnacentral:SRP_RNA from 1 species